rnacentral:rRNA from 1 species
CAGUGGGGAAUUUUGGACCAAUGGGCGAAAGCCUGAUCCAGCAAUGCCGCGUGCAGGAUGAAGGCCUUCGGGUUGUAAACUGCUUUUGUACGGAACGAAACGGUCUGCCCUAAUACGGUGGGCUAAUGACGGUACCGUAAGAAUAAGCACCGGCUAACUACGUGCCAGCAGCCGCGGUAAUACGUAGGGUGCGAGCGUUAAUCGGAAUUACUGGGCGUAAAGCGUGCGCAGGCGGUUAUAUAAGACAGAUGUGAAAUCCCCGGGCUCAACCUGGGACCUGCAUUUGUGACUGUAUAGCUAGAGUACGGUAGAGGGGGAUGGAAUUCCGCGUGUAGCAGUGAAAUGCGUAGAUAUGCGGAGGAACACCGAUGGCGAAGGCAAUCCCCUGGACCUGUACUGACGCUCAUGCACGAAAGCGUGGGGAGCAAACAGGAUUAGAUACCCUGGUAGUCCACGCCCUAAACGAUGUCAACUGGUUGUUGGGUCUUCACUGACUCAGUAACGAAGCUAACGCGUGAAGUUGACCGCCUGGGGAGUACGGCCGCAAGGUUGAAACUCAAAG